UGCUUAUCAAAUAAGGCGGAGGAAAAGGAAUACCAAACAGGGAUUGCCCGUAGCUAACGGCUGAGUGAACAGGCAAGAGCUCAGAUUUGAAAGGCACUUUUGUGCCGUUGUAUUCUGAAGUUAGGGUCCUGAGAAACGAUGCUUAAGUCUUCUGGAAAGGAGCGCCAUGGAGGGUGAUAGCCCCGUCUAGCAUUGACCUCAUAUAGGAUCUUAACAUGGAGUCGAGUUGUUUGGGAAUGCAGCUCAAAUGGGUGGUAUGCUCCAUCUAAAGCUAAAUAUCUGCGAGAGACCGAUAGUAAACAAGUACUGUGAGGGAAAGAUGAAAAGAACUUUGAAAAGAGAGUGAAAAAGUACGUGAAAUUGUUGAAAUGGAAGGGUAGGCCGCUAACCAUGUAGAGCCGUGUUUGGGGGGAAGAUAAAUGCUGUAGAAUGUAGCUCCUCGGAGUAUUAUAGAUGCAGUUCAUAUUCCCACCCGAGCGCGAGGAUCUCAGGUUCUACUAAAUGGUGUAAUCACCUGUU
rnacentral:rRNA from 1 species